rnacentral:rRNA from 1 species
ACAGGGUGACAGGUGGUGCAUGUUGUCGUCAGCUCGUGUCGUGAGAUGUUGGGUUAAGUCCCGCAACGAGCGCAACCCUUGUGUUUAGUUGCCAACAGGUUAAGCUGUGCACUCUAAACAGACUGCCGUGGAUAACACGGAGGAAGGUGGGGAUGACGUCAAAUCAUCAUGCCCCUUAUGAUCUGGGCUACACACGUGCUACAAUGGUCGGUACAACGGGCAGCGAAAGAGUAAUCUGGAGCGAAUCCUAAAAAGCCGAUCCCAGUUCGGAUUGUGGGCUGAAACUCGCCCACAUGAAGUUGGAGUUGCUAGUAAUCGCGAAUCAGAAUGUCGCGGUGAAUGCGUUCCCGGGUCUU